UACGUAGGGUGCGAGCGUUGUCCGGAAUUAUUGGGCGUAAAGGGCUCGUAGGCGGUUUGUCGCGUCGGGAGUGAAAACCUCGGGCUUAACUCGGGGCUUGCUUUCGAUACGGGCAGACUGGAGGUAUGCAGGGGAGAACGGAAUUCCUGGUGUAGCGGUGAAAUGCGCAGAUAUCAGGAGGAACACCGGUGGCGAAGGCGGUUCUCUGGGCAUGUCCUGACGCUGAGGAGCGAAAGUGUGGGGAGCGAACAGG
rnacentral:rRNA from 1 species